CCUCUUAGCAAGUAAGCUUGCCUGCAGCUGCUAAGACAGCAGUGCCCAUAAAAGUAAAAAUAAGCAUCACCAUGUCAUCCAGAAUGGCUUUCUUCAAUUCCUGAAUUGAACCAUGUCCAGUAGUUGAGUUCCUCUGCAUCGACCAGCUUGAUGUGGUUGCAGGGCAGAGGUGCCCCUACAUGCCCUAGGACACCAGAACAAGGUGAUGCUAGUUCAGUGGUUCGGUACCAUGGUGCUUGACAUCCCUGGGGGAUCCCCAAGCAUCCUGGUAGAGUGGAGCAUGCCUACGAUCGCAGAAGUCGAGAGGUAGAGGAAACAGUAUCAGGAGCUCAAGGUCAUCCUAGGCUGUGUAGUGAGUGGUUGGAGGCUAGCCUGGGCCACCUGAGGCUAGCCUGGGCCACCUGAGGCCUUACUUCUAUCAAAACAAAACAGAGACAAAACAAAAAUGGAAACAAACCCCCAGGUGGGUUAAAGCAGGGAGCUGUGGGACCAGAGUAACACACCUUUACGCAGGUGCUGGUGACAGGGACAAACCGAGGGCAAAACUAAACUCCGGGGAAUGCAGAGUGUGAGCUCCACUUUAAUAUAUCUAUUCACACAUAGGGUUCUCUGUGCAGCCCAGGUUGUCUUGAAAUUCACUACAGCACUCAGGCUGACCCCAAACUUGUGGUUCUGUGUGUCAUCCUUACCAGUCUUGCAAUUAUGGGAAGGCAUCAUCAUGUGAGAUU
rnacentral:lncRNA from 1 species